rnacentral:rRNA from 1 species
AUGCCGCUUUCGCCCCGCCCGCGCCGCCGCCGGCGAAUUCGCCCGAUAGACGGACACGCUGACAUCCCUCUCACCCCUUCCUACACCCGCGACCCCUCCGCCGCCGCCGCCGCAAACCCUAGCGCGGGGAGCUUUGGCUUCUCCUCCGCCGGUGCUCCUCCAAGCACCGGCAUCGCGCGCGGCCUUUUCAUGCCGCCACAAACGACCUCGGCGGCGUGUGGGGUCGCGUCGGCGCCCGCCGUGAAGCCACGUGCCCCCCUCUCGAAGCUCCCAAAUGCGGCGCGGGCGAAGAAGGGCAAGGUGUCCGCGAAGAAGAACAAGACGGCGGAUGGCACUCUAGGCGGCCGAAGAAGCUUGUAG